UUACAAAAAUUGUAUUUUAUUUUUACAGUGAAAAUGUAAGGUUUUUUUUAAACUAUGAAAAUU
rnacentral:tRNA from 1 species